AUGGCUUCUUCUUCUCCUUCUUCCCUCCUCUCGGCCGGCGUCUCCAUCCUCCUGAUCCAAGCCGUGGCGGUGAGCGUCGGCGUGGCCACAGCGGGAGACGCGCCGGCGCAGCUGCCGCGGUCGGAGCUGGCGGCCAUCUUCAGGGUGAUGGCCGACCUCCUCGGCGACCCGACGUGGCCGCAGCUCCACCCGCGGCCCUGCACGGACACGCCCUGGCCGGGCCUCCAGUGCGAGCUCGCCCCCGACGACAGCACCCGCCUCCGCUCCACCCGCCUCCACUUCGGCCCCGACGUCUCCACCCCGCCGUGCAGGCCCGGCGCCAGGCUCGCCGCCCCCGCGAUCCUUGGCCUGCCCCACCUCAGGACCCUUUCCCUCUUCGGCUGCUUCGUUGACGCCGGCCCCGUCGAGCUGCCGCCGGCGCUCUUCACCAACGCCUCCUCCCUCGAGCAGCUCGUCCUCAAGUCCAACCCGGGCCUCACCGGCCGGAUACCGGCAACCUUGACCAACCUGAAGAGCCUGCAAGUGCUUAGCCUGUCCCAGAACGGCUUCCACGGCGAGAUCCCCAGGGAGCUCGGCGGCCUCGCCGCGUUGCAGCAGCUCGACCUCAGCUACAACAACAUCACCGGCGAGCAGAUACCGGAGGAGAUUGGAGGGAUGGCAAGCCUGUCCAUCCUGGACCUGAGCUGGAACAGCAUCGGCGGCGGCGUGCCGGCGGCGUUGGGUGGCCUGAAGAUGCUGCAGAAGGCGGACCUGAGCUACAACCGGCUGGCCGGCGUGGUGCCACCGGAGAUCGGCUCUCUGAAGGAGCUGGUGUUCCUGGACCUGAGCCACAACGGGCUGGCGGGCCCGCUGCCAGCCUCGCUUGCCGGGCUGGCGAAGCUGCAGUACCUGCUCCUGCAGGACAACCCCAUCGGCACGGCGGUGCCGGCGGUGGUCGGGUCGUUGCGUCGGCUCCAGGUGCUGGGCCUGUCGGGAUGCAACCUGACGGGGCCGAUCCCGCGGGGCGCGUUCGCGGCGCUGGGGAGCCUGAUGGCGCUGUCGCUGGACCGGAACCGGCUGGACGGGCCGAUCCCGGCGAGCCUCGGCGCGCUACCGCACCUGGGGCAGCUCAACCUGAGCCAGAACCGGCUCGCCGGGGAGAUCGCCCUGCCGGUCGAGUUCGUGGCGCGGCUCGGCAGGCGGCUCGACGUGCGCGGCAACGAGGAGCUGUGCGUCGGCCAGGGCAGGUACAGCGGGCUGCAGGCGAGCUACCUCAGGGCGCCGCCGUGCGUGGGACGGGGGAGCACCAACGGGACGGCCGCGCUGGACGAGGGCACCGCGGGGGUUUACGGACCAGUCGUUGGGUUGGUGUGCCACCUUCUUGUGCUGUUGGUACUCGAGCUGUGA
rnacentral:rRNA from 1 species